GUGAUUGCUCCAACUAGACAACAUGAUCCAACAGAAGCAAUUUGCGGUUUCAUUGGCAAUGAUCGCUUCACUAAAUGACAAAAUUCCUCCUCAGUGGCAUUAAAUGCCUUCUUUAUGACAUCAACUGAUAGUCCCCCUUGCUCUGUCGCAUAUUUAUGCAUGAACUGUAAUUGAAACAAACAAUUUAGUGGGAGAAAGAGAGAGAAACACACAAACAGAUAGUUUUGAUGCUUUGAUAAGCAAGUCCAACCCAAAGGUUUGGUAGCAAAACUUAGUCUCGUAACAUUUUCCGUAAUUUUUAUUUCAAAAUUGGGUUUUCUUUUUUUUUUUUUUUUUUUU
rnacentral:misc_RNA from 1 species